rnacentral:rRNA from 1 species
GUAUAAGUCUCUUGGAACAGAGCGUCAUAGAGGGUGAGAAUCCCGUCUUUGACACGGACUACCAGUGCUUUGUGAUGCGCUCUCAAAGAGUCGAGUUGUUUGGGAAUGCAGCUCAAAAUGGGUGGUGAAUUCCAUCUAAAGCUAAAUAUUGGCGAGAGACCGUAGCGAACAAGUACCGUGAGGGAAAGAUGAAAAGCACUUUGGAAAGAGAGUUAAACAGUACGUGAAAUUGCUGAAAGGGAAACGCUUGAAGUCAGUCGCGUUGUCCGGAACUCAGCCUUGCUUUUGCUUGGUGCACUUUCCGGAUUGACGGGUCAGCAUCGAUUUUGACCGUCGGAAAAGGGCUGGAGUAAUGUGGCACCUCCGGGUGUGUUAUAGACUCUAGUCGCAUACGGCGGUUGGGAUCGAGGAACGCAGCGCGCCGCAAGGCAGGGGUUCGCCCACUUUCGCGCUUAGGAUGCUGGCAUAAUGGCUUUAAACGACCCGUCUUGAAACACGGACCAAGGAGUCUAACAUACCUGCGAGUGUUUGGGUGGAAAACCCGAGCGCGUAAUGAAAGUGAAAGUUGAGACCUCUGUCGUGGAGGGCAUCGACGCCCGGACCUGACGUUUACUGACGGUUCCGCGGUAGAGCAUGUAUGUUGGGACCCGAAAGAUGGUGAACUAUGCCUGAAUAGGGUGAAGCCAGAGGAAACUCUGGUGGAGGCUCGUAGCGAUUCUGACGUGCAAAUCGAUCGUCAAAUUUGGGUAUAGGGGCGAAAG